AUGAAACUUUGCAAAGCAAAAGCCCUCCUGCAUUUCAGGGGGUGGGAAAGUGUUCAGCACUAACACCUACACGAGUGAUAAUCAACACGGGUUCGGACUCGGCUGCAGUGACUUCUGGCUUGCGCACACUUCGGAUGCCUCAGAGUUGAACAAGGAUGUUGGAAAUUAGAGCCCGCUCACAGCUUUUUCAAUGGAUUAGAACAAAACAAGCAGUGCACAUUUUAAGAAGACUGGACACUAUUAAUGCCAACUCUGUGAGAGUAUAAGUAAGCUGCUGCAGUUUAACAGAAAGCGGAAUUUCCUAGACUAGCAUAAACUAAUGGCUCAUUGGCUAAAAUAGAUCUGCAGUCUCCGUUUGCUGUAGAAGCCCAGCUACUCUGCUGCUCCCAAUGAAAGAACGAUUGCAACUACGAUAAACACCCUGGGAUCGUCAAAAAUAUGGGAAGAUAUCAGCUGCUGUUAAACAGUGUAGAAAUAACACAGUAGUGAAACUAAUAAAUAAAUACAAACAGG